UGUUUUGCUUCUUUUU
rnacentral:sRNA from 1 species